rnacentral:rRNA from 1 species
ACGUAGGGGGCGAGCGUUAUCCGGAUUCACUGGGCGUAAAGCGCGUGCAGGCGGUUGGCUAAGUUCGUUGUGAAAGCGCCCAGGCUUAACCGGGCGAGGACAAUGAAGACUGGUCAGCUAGAGGACGGUAGAGGGGUGUGGAAUUCCACGUGUAGCAGUGAAAUGCGUAGAGAUGUGGAGGAACACCGAUGGCGAAGGCAGCCCCCUGGGCCGAUACUGACGCUCAUGCACGAAAGCGUGGGGAGCAAACAG